rnacentral:lncRNA from 1 species
CAAAUUUAAUAUAAUAUUCAAAUUAGACGUUAAUUUUUAACCGUAAUAUAAAUAAACUGACUCAUCAAUAAUAUUAUAAGAUACAUUGUACGGUGCGAACGAUAUUAGCCAAAUAAAAAAAAUUGGUAAGCUAGAUAUAAAAAGAUUCUGAGUCCUUGGGUAUUAUUUUCUUAUUUUUUAUGCUGAAACCUAGGGCCAAAAAUGAAUUAAAAAAACAAAAGAAGAAAAAGAAAAAAAGAAACAGUGACUAUCUAUGCCUAUACAUUAAUCCCCUAAAAAAAUAUCAUGUAGCUGUGUUUUCUUUACUUUUAAACUUUACAUUGCGAAACCAACCCUUCGCCUACCCUCUACCCAUAACGCCUAAUUAAUAGUUCACUCACCUUAAUCCAAUCUUUCGCUUUCCCUCCACCCAUAACGUCUAAUUAAUGGUAUACUCAUCUUAAUCCAACCCUUCGCCUUCCCUCCGUACAUAACGUCUAAUUAAUAGUCCACCCAUCUUAACUUUAAUCUAAACUGUACGUCUAAUUAAUGAUUCAGCCAUCUUAACCCAACCUUUCCACUCACCUUAAUUCAACCCUUCGCCUUCCCUCCAUACAUAACGUCUAAUUAAUGAUCCACCUUUAAUCUAAACUGUAAAUCGUAGAAACCCACGAAAAGCCCCCUUCUCUCCUUCUCUACUUUCUCUUACUCCUCCAUGAGCUCCGAGGCCAAAAUCGAGCACGUUCUGUGGACGGAGUAUGAGUUUGCACGCUGCAUCGCCGAGCUUGGCUCUGCCAUUUUCAUCAAAUCGAGCGUUUCUUCAAAUUUCAAGAGUUCUUUUAAAAGAUUUAUAUAUUCUUUAUGUUGUAGCAUUGAAAUUUCUAAGAUAACUUUAUU